rnacentral:rRNA from 1 species
UACGUAGGGGGCGAGCGUUGUCCGGAAUUACUGGGCGUAAAGGGUGCGUAGGCGGCCAAACAAGUCGGAUGUGAAAUGCCUCUGCUUAACGGAGGAGUUGCAUACGAAACUGUAUGGCUUGAGUGCAGGAGAGGAAAGCGGAAUUCCUAGUGUAGCGGUGAAAUGCAUAGAUAUUAGGAGGAACACCAGUGGCGAAGGCGGCUUUCUGGACUGUAACUGACGCUGAGGCACGAAAGCGUGGGGAGCAAACAGGAUUAGAUACCCUGGUAGUCCACGCUGUAAACGAUGAAUACUAGGUGUAGGGGGUAUCAAAUCCCUCUGUGCCGGAGCAAACGCAAUAAGUAUUCCGCCUGGGGAGUACGGCCGCAAGGUUGAA